GUACAUCCACGACGUCCCGAACGACAUGGUCUCGGUACCUCUCGCACAUCAGCGUGGUGUU
rnacentral:tRNA from 1 species